GGCGGCAACAAAGCCGAGCCAGCCGCGGCGUCUGGGCCAAAGGCAUGCAUUGGUUUUCCAUAGUUGAUGAAGUGUGGCAUGCCAUGGUGGACAGACCUUGGGCGUUGGGACAGACUGACCUGGAUUUAUACCUGCCUUAGCCACCUGUGAUCUGUGAAUUGGUGCUUCUGACUUCAGUAAGACUGAACAUCAUUUUCUUUGACUACUCAACAAGAAUUAUGCUUCUCUCACAAGAUUUUUGUGAAGAUUUAAGAGAUUGUCAUAGGGGGUGAUCCCAGGAAAAAUACAAGAGAGUGGAGAAGGAAAAAGCCAACACAGAACGUGUCAAUGAGUGGCUCACUACUGUGAACAUUUGGGGCUCAUUUGCACUUGUGUCCCCCGAGAGUCUGGGUACAACACCGUUCAGCAUCACUCCAGCAAGAGGGAAGGAGGCUGACUAUUUAUGAUGAGACCCAAGAUUUGGGAGGCAAAACAAACAAAUAAACAAAUAUGAAGAGGGCAGAUUUUGGACCUCCAUGAAUGAUGCCAAAGUUAAGAAAAGCUAAAAGAGGUAGAGAAGGUAUCUCUGGGGAGUGUUCUUCUCUUGCCUGGCUGGCCUUGUACCUGACGGGACUCUGGACAUCUUCACAACAGGAGCCAUUUUGCAAAGGAUGAGAUGAUAGCUCUGAGAGGAUGAGCAACUCACCCAAGUUCAUGUUGCUGCAAAAUGAUAGAAUUGGAAGUAGGUGCCAGACUGCAUCCAAGGAGGAGACACUGAAGUGUUUUUUCCCUACACCGUGCUAAAUACACUAAGGCAGCGCCUCCCCUGUGCUCUUUCCUGCCUCUACCCCUCUAGUCUCUGCCCUGCUCUUCCUCCUCCUCUUGGUGUCUCUGAAGAGAGGAAAGGGAAAAGGACAAACUGCCCAGAGUCUCCUCAGAUGUUCAGGGGAAGCUGUUCUUGGUUGUACGCUGGCAGUGAUUUCUUUCAAAAAGGCAGCAACAUUGAACUGCCCAAGGUCAGAGAGUCCCAGUGCUGUGGACUUGGGGAAGAGCCAGGGAAGGCAGGGUGCUGUUUGUUUGUUUUGUUUUUAAAAAUUUUUUUAAGCUGUUGGGGGUCAUUUUGUGCUUGUGUGUAAGGGUAUGUUUGAGUAUUCUGCUUCCCUGUCCUGGCUGCCUGGCAGUACCCGGACGUGAAGGAGAUGGUCACAAAUGCAGACAGGGACACUUUCCAACACUGUAUCAUAGUGAACAAAGAACAACAGUGAAGAUGUUUUACACAAAGAGAAGGAUGUGAGAGUGAACUUGGGUGGCAUGGCGUCCAGCCUUUCUGAUAAAUAACACCAGCACGCCUUGGGGAGAGAACUGUGGCCCAUGUCAAUGGGAGUGGCAGUUUUGCCAGCAUGGCUGGCUGUGUCCAUGGGGCUGCAUCAUGGAAUUGGCAUUCUGAGCUUGGGCAGAGAUGGAGAUGGCUCCUUGAACUGGUUCCAUCCCUGGGAAUACAGAACAGGUUAUCUGUCCUAAAGUCCAGUUGAUGGAAGCACAAGGAUCUAAAGUGAACAGGAAUGGUGUUCUCAGUCGAAUCAUGUCCUCAAAAAGGUGAAGUGAAUUAUUCCAUGUCACAUAGGGAGUAAGUGGCAGAUCCAGGAUUAGGACACAGAUCCUCUCAGUUCUGUGGAAAUCAACAGAGAUCCGGCAGAUGAGAAAAGCAAAGGCCACGUAUCCUGCACUUUCGACGGCGAGGGAGUCCGCCCGAAAACCUUAGUUGUGGGUGAUAGAUAUAUCAUUUGUAUCCUCAGCCUGUCAGUCAGUCCUCUUCCUUCUAAGUUGGGGUGGCAAAGCUUCGGUAAACAACCAGAUAGAAAAAGGACGAUCAGCUUUACGCGCCGCAGAGUCUCUGCUGUGAUUACUCAACGCUGACAUUUCAGCACAAAAGCAACCCUGACAAUAUGUAAACAAGUGGAUUUGGCUGUGCUCCAACAAAACUUUAUUUAUAAAAACAGGGAGCAGGCUUGAUGUGGCCAUAGGGCUGCACUUUGCAGACCCCCGUUCCACAGUAAAGAGUGCACAAAACCAACAAAUGUGCAUUUGACAGCUGCCUCCUGUGUGGUGACUCAUUUCCUUCAGUACUGUUUUCACGCUAUUGAAGCCGUGAUCAUUGUGGUCUAGCUUCUGAGUGGUUCCUAUUCAAGAAGCAUAGUUCAACAACCAAAAAAAUUUUUAAAAGUUCCAUUAUUUUUUCCUUCCUCUCAAAGGAUGUUAUGUGGUACCCAUUUAAUAGCUAAAGUGAUCGUUCUCAUAAUAUUUUUUUUUGUCCCUUUCCCCCUAUAGCCCAUACUACCUUUUUAGAACCUCUUAUUUAUCAAAUCCACCCCCCGGCCCCAAAAGAAACAGUCAUGCGUAGUGAAUCAGCACAGGGAACCAUCUUUCUUUGAAUACAUGACAUGUCAGACAAGAGCUGGUAAGAGCAGUGCUGUUAAAUUGAUAUGAAUCCUGGCACUGCCACUUACUAGUCUGUGACCUUGGUCUGUCCUUAGCCUGGUCCCCUUACGUUUGCAACAUGGCUGCCACAAUUCUAGGCAUCAUGCAUCGAGGAGAAAAGUAUGUAUUCAGAAGAAGCAGAGGUCAUUUCCUCUUUGUACCCUCUUAAAAGUGAAGAACCAUCUCCCAGAAACUUCCAGGCUGACUCAUCCUCAUAUCCCAUGGGCCCAAAUGUAACACAUACUCAUAUCUAAGUCCAUUUGGGUAAGGGAGUGGGACCUCCGUGACUGGCUUAGAUUAGAGUAGAUUAGAUUAAGCUGGAGUCACCUGCUGAGACGGGGCGUCUGUGGCCUGGUGGAGGAGGGAGGAUGAGAAGGGAUGAAGCCGAGCUUCCGUGGGAAAGACGAAGGAGAGGGGUCAGUUCUGAGAAGCCAACCACCUGUAUCUUCAGCAAGAGGACAGGUGGGGAGAGCCUAGGAGGAGCUCAUCUCUAGGUUUUUAAAGUUCCUCAAAGCAGAAACAGUCAAGGAUUCCUUUUCGUGGCAGACGGAAGGCUUGGGUUGCUGAUGGAGAGCUGACUCCCAUCUUCCUCAGACACAUCACGUAUGAGGCCACUGUGGAUAACAACAUUGUCAGAUGGGCAAAACUGGUCUGCCUGUCUUCUCUCCUGCCCAGUUUGUUGUCGGCUUACACUCUUUCCCCCAGUCUCACCGUCUUGGGACCGAGGAUCUUGCAUGCUUGGCCAUGAACUCACCAGAGGGAACGCUGGUUAGGGAGAGGGCAAGACCUGGGGAUGAAUCCUGGCUCUGCCACUUAAUCGUCUAUGACCUUGGGCAUGUGGCUUACCAGCAAUGAAGAUUAUUAGUUACCUAAUCUGUGAUGAGGGAAGAUGUCUGCCUUCCUAACUCAUGUCAUUGCUGUGAGGAUUAAAUGGAAUAUUUUACUGCUUAUGGGA